GAUGAACGCUGGCGGCGUGCCUAAUACAUGCAAGUCGAGCGAACGGACGAGAAGCUUGCUUCUCUGAUGUUAGCGGCGGACGGGUGAGUAACACGUGGAUAACCUACCUAUAAGACUGGGAUAACUUCGGGAAACCGGAGCUAAUACCGGAUAAUAUUUUGAACCGCAUGGUUCAAAAGUGAAAGACGGUCUUGCUGUCACUUAUAGAUGGAUCCGCGCUGCAUUAGCUAGUUGGUAAGGUAACGGCUUACCAAGGCAACGAUGCAUAGCCGACCUGAGAGGGUGAGAGGAGCGACUGGGAGUGAGCCACGGGAGAGGAGGGUACGGGAGGGAGCAGGAGGGAAGUGUGCGAAGAGGGCGUAAGAAGGAAGGAGCAACGGAGUGGGAGAGAGGAAGGUCUGAAGAUAGUAGAACUAUGUGAGGAGGGAAGAACAAAGGUGGAAGUAAAUAGGAAAGGCGCGGCGGGAGCUAAUCAGAAAGAGAAGGACCUAGAAGGG
rnacentral:rRNA from 1 species